rnacentral:rRNA from 1 species
AAAGCGUGCGUAGGCGGCUUUUUAAGUCGGAUGUGAAAUCCCUGAGCUUAACUUAGGAAUUGCAUUCGAUACUGGGAAGCUAGAGUAUGGGAGAGGAUGGUAGAAUUCCAGGUGUAGCGGUGAAAUGCGUAGAGAUCUGGAGGAAUACCGAUGGCGAAGGCAGCCAUCUGGCCUAAUACUGACGCUGAGGUACGAAAGCAUGGGGAGCAAACAGGAUUAGAUACCCCAGU